GAUGAACGCUAGCUACAGGCUUAACACAUGCAAGUCGAGGGGCAGCACAGUGUAGCAAUACAUGGGUGGCGACCGGCGCACGGGUGCGUAACGCGUAUCCAACCUUCCCGUUACUCAGGGAUAGCCUUCCGAAAGGGAGAUUAAUACCUGAUGGUGUUUGAAUUCCGCAUGUUAUUCGAACUAAAGAUUUAUCGGUAACGGAUGGGGAUGCGUGACAUUAGGUAGAUGGCGGGGUAACGGCCCACCAUGCCUACGAUGUCUAGGGGUUCUGAGAGGAAGGUCCCCCACACUGGAACUGAGACACGGUCCAGACUCCUACGGGAGGCAGCAGUGAGGAAUAUUGGUCAAUGGUCGGAAGACUGAACCAGCCAAGUAGCGUGAAGGAUGAAGGUUCUAUGGAUUGUAAACUUCUUUUAUACGGGAAUAAAACCACCUACGUGUAGGUGCUUGUAUGUACCGUAUGAAUAAGCAUCGGCUAACUCCGUG
rnacentral:rRNA from 1 species